rnacentral:rRNA from 1 species
AUUGAACGCUGGCGGCAGGCCUAACACAUGCAAGUCGAGCGGAUGAAGGUAGCUUGCUCCUGGAUUCAGCGGCGGACGGGUGAGUAAUGCCUAGGAAUCUGCCUGGUAGUGGGGGAUAACGUCCGGAAACGGGCGCUAAUACCGCAUACGUCCUGAGGGAGAAAGUGGGGGAUCUUCGGACCUCACGCUAUCAGAUGAGCCUAGGUCGGAUUAGCUAGUUGGUGGGGUAAAGGCCUACCAAGGCGACGAUCCGUAACUGGUCUGAGAGGAUGAUCAGUCACACUGGAACUGAGACACGGUCCAGACUCCUACGGGAGGCAGCAGUGGGGAAUAUUGGACAAUGGGCGAAAGCCUGAUCCAGCCAUGCCGCGUGUGUGAAGAAGGUCUUCGGAUUGUAAAGCACUUUAAGUUGGGAGGAAGGGCAGUAAGUUAAUACCUUGCUGUUUUGACGUUACCAACAGAAUAAGCACCGGCUAACUUCGU